ensembl:lncRNA
GGGGAGGCUAGUAACAGGCUCUAAGGUUCAGGGCAGGGUACUGGGGGAGGCUAGUAACAGUGACUAAGGUUCAGGGCAGGGUACUGGGGGAGGCUAGUAACAGUGACUAAGGUUCAGGGUAGGGUACUGGGGGAGGCUAGUAACAGUGACUAAGGUUCAGGGCAGGGUACUGGGGGGGAGGCUAGUAACAGUGACUAAGGUUCAGGGCAGGGGUACUGGGGGAGGGUGGUAACAGUGACUAAGGUUCAGGGCAGGGUACUGGGGGGAGGGUGGUAACAGUGAUUAAGGUUCAGGGCAGGGUACUGGGGGGAGGGUGGUAACAGUGAUUAAGGUUCAGGGCAGGGUACUGGGUGGAGCCUAGUUACCUGCCCUGAACUAUUUAACAGUCUGAUGGCCUGGAGAUAGAAGCUGUUUUUCAGUAUCUUGGUUCCAGCUUUGAUGCACCUGUACUGACCUUGCCUUCUAGAUGAUAGCGGGGUGAACAGGUCUUGGAUCGGGUGGCUGAGGUCCUUAAUGAUAUCCUUGGCCUUCCUGUGACACCGGGGGCUGUAGUUGUCCUGGAGGGCAGGCAG